UACGAAGGGGGGCUAGCGUUGUUCGGAAUUACUGGGCGUAAAGCGCACGUAGGCGGCUUUGUAAGUUAGAGGUGAAAAGCCCAGGGCUUAACCCUGGAAUUGCCUUUAAGACUGCAUCGCUAGAAUUGUGGAGAGGUAAGUGGAAUUCCGAGUGUAGAGGUGAAAUUCGUAGAUAUUCGGAAGAACACCAGUGGCGAAGGCGACUUACUGGACACAUAUUGACGCUGAGGUGCGAAAGCGUGGGGAGCAAACAGG
rnacentral:rRNA from 1 species